rnacentral:rRNA from 1 species
UACGGAGGGUGCAAGCGUUAUCCGGAUUCACUGGGUUUAAAGGGUGCGUAGGUGGGUAGGAAAGUCAGUGGUGAAAUCUUCGGGCUUAACCCGGAAACUGCCAUUGAUACUAUUUAUCUUGAAUACUUUGGAGGUAAGCGGAAUAUGUCAUGUAGCGGUGAAAUGCUUAGAUAUGACAUAGAACACCAAUUGCGAAGGCAGCUUACUACACAGUUAUUGACACUGAGGCACGAAAGCGUGGGGAUCAAACAGG